rnacentral:rRNA from 1 species
CCUACGGGAGGCAGCAGUGAGGAAUAUUGGUCAAUGGACGAGAGUCUGAACCAGCCAAGUAGCGUGAAGGAUGACUGCCCUAUGGGUUGUAACCUUCUUUUAUAAAGGAAUAAAACGAGGCACGUGUGCCUUUUUGCAUGUACUUUAUGAAUAAGGAUCGGCUAACUCCGUGCCAGCAGCCGCGGUAAUACGGAGGAUCCGAGCGUUAUCCGGAUUUAUUGGGUGUAAAGGGAGCGUAGAUGGGUUGUUAAGUCAGUUGUGAAAGUUUGCGGCUCAACCGUAAAAUUGCAAUUGAUACUGGCAGUCUUGAGUACAGGUGAGGUAGGCGGAAUUCGUGGUGUAGCGGUGAAAUGCUUAGAUAUCACGAAGAACCCCGAUUGCGAAGGCAGCUUACUAAACUGUGACUGACAUUGAUGCUCGAAAGUGUGGGUAUCAAACAGGAUUAGAUACCCGAGUAGUC